GAUGAACGCUGGCGGCGUGCCUAAUACAUGCAAGUCGAGCGAACGGACGAGAAGCUUGCUUCUCUGAUGUUAGCGGCGGACGGGUGAGUAACACGUGGAUAACCUACCUAUAAGACUGGGAUAACUUCGGGAAACCGGAGCUAAUACCGGAUAAUAUUUUGAACCGCAUGGUUCAAAAGUGAAAGACGGUCUUGCUGUCACUUAUAGAUGGAUCCGCGCUGCAUUAGCUAGUUGGUAAGGUAACGGCUUACCAAGGCAACGAUGCAUAGCCGACCUGAGAGGGGGAUCGGCCAAACUGGAACUGAAACACGGUCCAGACUCCUACGGGAGGCAGCAGUAGGGAAUCUUCCGCAAUGGGCGAAAGCCUGACGGAGCAACGCCGCGUGAGUGAUGAAGGUCUUCGGAUCGUAAAACUCUGUUAUUAGGGAAGAACAUAUGUGUAAGUAACUGUGCACAUCUUGACGGUACCUAAUCAGAAAGCCACGGCUAACUACGUG
rnacentral:rRNA from 1 species